UGUGGUAAAUUAAAGAGGCGUUUGAUCUGGAAGGGACAGAUAUUCUGGACGAUGUAACAGAAACUCAGUUGAAUGAAUUGGUACUACACUAUCUCCCACAACUGCAGUAUAUAUGGAAUAGGGAUCCCUAUGGAAUUCUCACCUAUGAAAACUUAGAAUUGGUGGAAGUUCACCAUUGUCAGGUUCUGAAAGUUCAAUUUCCAAGUCCGUUACCCCGAGACCUUUCACAGCUUAAGAAGCAAUUGAUUUGAUCUCAUUGGACAAAAGACUUAAGAGAGAAGGAUCAAGGAAAAGAUUUUGUAUUCCCUGAAGUAACCUACAAUGAACUUGAACUUCCCGAUCUGCAAAAAAUCAAGGGUAAAGAGGUGGUAGUGGUUGGUGGAAGUGAUUAUGUGGGCAAGAUUUCAGGAGACAUGCCUGGAAGUUCAGGAUAGUAUCCCAGUUCAAGGUUGGUUGCUUUCCCUGACUUGGAGGAACUUACAGUGACAGCUAAUUCCCAGCAAAAUCAUUCAAACUACAAGUUCUGGAGGUACUCUGCCAUCUUUAGAUAUUCUGGUACGCUGGAUUUGCUUCAUGCUUUCCUUCAUUUCAGGAGAAAGACAUGCUGCUAUGAGAGGCUCUACAACGAUUUUUUCCUCUGUUUCAAUUGAAUUCGACUGGGUUUUUCUUUCAGUAAAAUUUCAUAUAAUUGCCUCGACUUGAGCAAUAUGCUCCUAAGCUGCUAUGCUACUUUGUCCCAAAACAGU